rfam:Schistosoma mansoni, Puerto Rico, WGS project CABG01000000 data, contig: 0361
GCACCGCUGGGGAGUCCUAUAAUAGGACGAAACGGCCGUCCAGUGC